UAGGGCUGCACACAGCAGCCCAUUCCCCUUGCCCAUGUCUCCCCGUGAGCUCCAUGCGCCACCUGUGGGCUUUGCCUAUAUUUUUAGGCCCCGAGAUUUUAUUAUUUAAUAUUUUUAAAUAAUAUGGGUUUUUAUAUUUUCACCCACACUUUGAUUUGGCCCCGAAGACCAAAUAAAUUAAUUCAAUUAUCAUUAUACAAUAUUUUUGCAUAUAUUUGUUGCAUAUUUGUUUGCAUAUAUAUUUGUGUUUGCCUGCAGGAAUAUAUGAACUUGAAGUUCAUAAUUACUUUGAAACCCGAAGUUUCUUAUAAACAUGCCUUGUUUGAAAACCUGAAGUUUUCUCUUAAACAUAUCACCCAUGAAAACCCGAAGUUUUUCAUGCAAAAUUAAACAAAUACAUGUCUAUUAGAACCUGUAUGUUCUACUCCUAUGUGAAUGGAUUGAUUUUUCUCCAUUACACUAAACACAUCUUGUCCAUCUAUUUGUGAUAGGAACAUGUCGAAUUUGAA
rnacentral:lncRNA from 1 species